rnacentral:rRNA from 1 species
GAUGAACGCUGGCGGCGUGCUUAACACGUGCAAGUCGAACGGAAAGGCCAGUGCUUGCACUGGUACUCGAGUGGCGAACGGGUGAGUAACACGUGGGUGAUCUGCCCUGCACUUCGGGAUAAGCCUGGGAAACUGGGUCUAAUACCGGAUAGGACAAUGGUUUGGAUGCCGUUGUGGAAAGUUUUUUCGGUGUGGGAUGAGCUCGCGGCCUAUCAGCUUGUUGGUGGGGUAAUGGCCUACCAAGGCGUCGACGGGUAGCCGGCCUGAGAGGGUGUACGGCCACAUUGGGACUGAGAUACGGCCCAGACUCCUACGGGAGGCAGCAGUGGGGAAUAUUGCACAAUGGGCGCAAGCCUGAUGCAGCGACGCCGCGUGGGGGAUGACGGCCUUCGGGUUGUAAACUCCUUUCGCUAGGGACGAAGCGUAUUUGUGACGGUACCUGGAGAAGAAGCACCGGCUAACUACGUG